CAAGUCGAGCGGGGAAAGGUAGCUUGCUACUGGACCUAGCGGCGGACGGGUGAGUAAUGCUUAGGAAUCUGCCUAUUAGUGGGGGACAACAUUCCGAAAGGAAUGCUAAUACCGCAUACGUCCUACGGGAGAAAGCAGGGGACCUUCGGGCCUUGCGCUAAUAGAUGAGCAUAAGUCGGAUUAGCUAGUUGGUGGGGUAAAGGCCUACCAAGGCGACGAUCUGUAGCGGGUCUGAGAGGAUGAUCCGCCACACUGGGACUGAGACACGGCCCAGACUCCUACGGGAGGCAGCAGUGGGGAAUAUUGGACAAUGGGGGGAACCCUGAUCCAGCCAUGCCGCGUGUGUGAAGAAGGCCUUAUGGUUGUAAAGCACUUUAAGCGAGGAGGAGGCUACUAGUAUUAAUACUACUGGAUAGUGGACGUUACUCGCAGAAUAAGCACCGGCUAACUCUGUGCCAGCAGCCGCGGUAAUACAGAGGGUGCGAGCGUUAAUCGGAUUUACUGGGCGUAAAGCGUGCGUAGGCGGCCAUUUAAGUCAAAUGUGAAAUCCCCGAGCUUAACUUGGGAAUUGCAUUCGAUACUGGAUGGCUAGAGUAUGGGAGAGGAUGGUAGAAUUCCAGGUGUAGCGGUGAAAUGCGUAGAG
rnacentral:rRNA from 1 species